rnacentral:rRNA from 1 species
GAAUAUUGCACAAUGGGCGCAAGCCUGAUGCAGCCAUGCCGCGUGUAUGAAGAAGGCCUUCGGGUUGUAAAGUACUUUCAGCGGGGAGGAAGGGAGUGAGGUUAAUAACCUUAUUCAUUGACGUUACCCGCAGAAGAAGCACCGGCUAACUCCGUGCCAGCAGCCGCGGUAAUACGGAGGGUGCAAGCGUUAAUCGGAAUUACUGGGCGUAAAGCGCACGCAG